GCGUGGAACAAAGGGCUUGACUUUGAAGCGUGCAGCGGCGUGAAACUUGCAGUGCGGGAAAGUGAAUUUACAGACGCAGGACAGAGGCAGUUAAUCGUACAGUGACAGGUUUCGUAACCUCAGCCGAGCUUGUGAGCUUGCGGCCGCAUUGAGAAAGAACAGGAGCUUACAAAACUGGCAGAGUAUUUUACGGGGAGCGGGAAACGGAAGGAGGAGUCUGGUUCUUAUCUUUGCACGGGGGGAGUGCAGUGCUGGGAGGCGUCUGGGCGGCAUUCCUUGGGGUUCUGGCUUUUUAAAUGGUGUUUUCAAGGCCUUGCCUGGGGGCUUUGCCUGUUGCUGGCUUUGGGGCGAGUCAGCUUUAUACGAAAAAGGGGGAAGUAGCUCUUUUCCUGGCAGGGGUGGACACGUAGUUAUGGGAUGAGCUCGGUGGUACUCGGCCUGUCCACACGAGCGUCUCUGGCUUUGUCGAUAUUCUUGACAAGGAGGGGAAGAGACAAGAGUACGAGGCGGACUCCCAGUAUGGCCAGAACUACUCCUAGUAAGGUUUUAAAUCCCCCGAGGGAUGAAAACCAACCACGGGGGGGCGGGGGGAACCUGGAGACCAUUCCGGUUUCCAGGUUUGUGUUGGAACAUGAGCUAAGUCUCGCAUUCUCGCAAUUAAUUCAUGACGUCCUCCUCAUUGUCAUCGAUUUUUAGGCAACAAUUAGUUAAAUUAAACUCUCCGCAUAUCCCUCCUUCUGACAUAGAUCUAGCGAGAGCAGCAAGAACAAAGGGAAGAGUAGCAUGUUUGUACCUAGGAUGGACAAGAGAUGUUUGCCCAGAGGAGGGGGUUGAGCAAAGCGACAGGUUAAUAGUAAAACAAUUAAGAUGACAAGGAAAAUUACUGGGCUUAAGAUUUCUAACUACAUUUACUUCCUUGACGAAGCUUCGGCCGUGCGUAGACUGGUCAGCUUCCGGGGUGACUAGAGCAGGGCUGUGGUCACUUUCACUGGCAUCUGGGUCCUGUCGUAGGAUCAGCCGGUUUGGAUGGUCUGGGUCUUGCUGGCUGGUCCACUUGUCCUGGGCUGCUGGUUUCAGCCGACUGUGGAGAUCGAAGGCACAGUUCCUGAAACAUUAACAGCAGUGGGAGUGGACAGGAUCGCAGUCUAGGCCCAUCCCAUCUG
rnacentral:lncRNA from 1 species